rnacentral:lncRNA from 1 species
CCAGUGAUAGCAGGAAAAUGCACAAUGUGAGUAGUGAUUCCUAAGCAUUUAAGGGGUGAUUUUCAAGUAAUAGAGUGAGCAGAAGACACCAUGUACAGGGACUCCAGAUGCCCCAGGCAGAGGUAAAAUGCUCGAAAGAGAGGAACAUCACUACCUGGCGGGCAGGUGGGGACAGGCUUGCCACGGAUGGUCUGGGGAUGGGAUAACUCUCUGGCUCCCACUCUGAGAAGCAGGAGGUGAUCUGGCCACAAGCCCUCAAGACGUGUUGAGUUUGGGAAUACCUCACUGCUAGGGAAUACCAGGAAUUAUGCAAUUCACUGUCUUCAUUUUAAAAUUCUGUAUGGGAGAAGCUAAAAAGUGAAGUUGGGGGGUUUUAGUAUAUUUCAUUUGCAUUGGUUUACUCUUCUCGUUCCUUGAUUAUCUGAGAGGAGGCUGCUGUUACGGAAAAGCGAAAACCAGGAGUGGUUUGAAUAUUCUUCCUUGAGACUUUUGACUGUUUCUAUAAGAAGUGGAUCUGCAUGUGCCUUUUGGAUAUUGUGUUCCUCAUGACAAUGCCUUUUGUUCAUAGAUAGUUCCCAGUUUCCAAAGACUUUCCCCAUUAUAACAUUUGUUCCAUCCUCAAAACCGUCAAAUGCAAAGGCCUCCAUUUUAUUAAAGGAGAAAGUACGACUCAAAGAAGUCAAGUGACUCACCCGAGGUCACACAGCUAAAUUCUAGCAGAGCAAGGGACCAAGAUAGUGAAUUCUAAAUGCAGAGACCUUCUUAUUGUUCCAAUUUUCUGUCCGACAAUGCCCACCUCCUGGAGUGAGCAAGUCUUGCUGGAGACACAACAGCAGCUACAAGUGGUCCUCCCGACUAUUCCAGAAAUCCUUUUUCCACAGUGAAAAACUGAAUUUGCCUGCCCCAGUUUCCCAGCCGCCUCAUGACUCGAUGAGCAAUUGCUUUAACUCUGACAAAAUUAGGCCACCUCCAACCUAAAUGUAACCCGUUUUCAGAGUGAGACCCUGCAUGGAGGCAGCUCUUUUCCUGAAAGGAUAACAAAAGCAUGCUUUUGUGUGUAUUUCACUUGAUGGAAAGAAAUCCCCAGUGAGGCCGUUUUUUCCCCCUGAAUUCUCCCAAGUCCAGAAUGUAUCCAAGUUUCCAAUAUUACCUCAGAAGAGCCAUUCAUCUAUGAAGAUGGCCGAAUUGUCUUCCAGCUCGGUAGACAGUGUGUCUGCGAGAGAGAAGGUCUGCAUCUGCCAGUUCAGCCGGCCCUGACUGAAAAUAUUUGGGAAAAAAAUUACAAUUAAAAAGUAAGAAUAUUCACCUUCUGCCAUGAGCAAAAGCCUCCUGAAGCCUCACCAGAAGCUGAACAAAUGCUGGCGUCAUGCUUGUACAUCCUGCAGAAACUAUUCUGUGAGUGCUUCCUAUUGACAGAAUGGAACCGAACCUGGCAAGGACGUCUGGGAGAUGUAGUUUUCAGGCUUCCCAGCCCUGGAUACAGAAGAGGAAAUCACUAACACAAACAGCACAACUCCUGGCAAAUACCUUAAGACCUUUCACUUUCCUGGCUUGUUUAUGCCACAGAGGAUGCUCAGCCCCAUGGUCUCCGUUGUCAUCAUCCAAUAAGGAGUGUGUAAGUGGCACUGCUGUAACCACAUGCACUUUACAAAAAUAAUAUUUCAUCCUUACCAUUGGUACUGUCUGUGGCUGCACGCUGAAUGGGAAUCAUUUCAGAAGGUUCCAGCUGGCCUUCCUCAAAAGAUAAAGAAAAUCCUCUAAAGGAUGAUUUUUCUGGGAUCUACUAAGAAGAGCAUAAUGAAUGUUGUAGAACAAACCAACUUAAAAAGUUGGUGGUGGGGGGUAGAUAUUGCCGACUUGCAGAAAUUCCCUCUACCCCCUUUAUACCAAAGGAGCCAUAUCUUCAUCUCAUAAUAAAUGCAAACUUGGAAAGGCUCACAAGCCCGCCUGCCUCUUCAGCUAACGACAGCUUCAAUUAUGAGGCCUAAUCCUGCAUUCCUGACACUCCCCUUAUCCCUGCAUAACUUCCAGGGGAGUCAAAGGGCCCUCCGCCCUGGACCUGGUGAGGGAGACAUUAGUUAUGCAGGAGCAGUGCCUGGAGCUUGCUGGCAAAUUUAAGGGUCUGUUCCUAUAACUGCACACACUUGGAAGCCUUAAAUCCUCAUACUUUGACUCUUCACCUUAUGCUGAAAUAAAAAGCCACAGUAACUCCAUUAAAACGUAUAAAAUUCCUCUACAGGAAAUGAGUACUAGUUUGCUUCCAACUUACAUUGGUUUUAGGUUUCUUCUUCCCAACCCCUUUUUACUUUUAAUGUUGGUGUUCAAUUCCAUGGAAAAUAUUUUCUAUAAGGGAAAAAAAAUAAACACAAGCAUCAUGCAGGGUCUUUGCAUUUUAUUUACUAAACUGGGCAAAACAUCUUUGAUUUGCUGGCUCUUACUCCCUGGUAAAUCAGUGGGAAUUCCUCACAAAUACAAGGUUGGCUUAAGUCACCCUAUGGGGACACCCAGUGACCUCUGGCUUAUUGAGAAGUGACCUUGUUUUAUAUACUAAUCAUCCACCCAGCUAUAUUAGUAACGAGACUAUAACUCAUUUUCAUCCUAGGCACACACUGUGCAUUAUCAGUCUCCUAAUUAAUCCCAGACUAUUCAGGGGGCAGGUAUUCUUAGUUCUGAUUUUCCUCACUGCUCCUCAAGCCAGAGAGUCAGAGAGUCGGCAAACAGAGGGUCGUGCUCUGUGUCCCUGAGGCAUGUCCUUAUGUCCCAGCCCAGAGCUCACUUCACCCCCAACACCCUCCCUCUGGACUGGGGAAGCCCUGGGAACGAGCACACCUCUGCUGAUCUCUGAGGCAGUGGUGCUUCCUCAGGGGAGAAGGAACCUGGGGUCAGCAGAUAUCCUGCAAGCCUGCUUAAUGGACAAAGUCAACAGCAGCUUCCCCACAGGCAGAAAAUAAAUUCAAAGCAUUGGUAGACAGCAAGCAGGCUGGGCUCUGUGCUCUGGGCAGCUCAGACUCCCACACGUUUGCCUCAAACCCUCAUCGCAUUCACCUUUGUCUCCGGGGAUGCAGAGGAGUGGCUCCAGCCUCCCCUCCCCACCUCUCUGAAGAGACAAAAACACGUAACACAUUGCUAGGCAUCAGUUCCAAAACACUGAGCUGGUAUUAGCUCCUUUUCAAAAAGGAAGACACAAGCAGUUGUACAUUUUCCAUCAUUUAAUUGCUUAUUUUUAACGUCCCCAGUUAAAAGGGAAAAGGGGCACCUAUAAUAUCCAAGCUCUCAGCUUGAAUGCGUGAUCUCAUUUUAUCUUCACACAACUCCAUGAGGUAAGUACUAUGAGUCCCAUGUUACAGAUGAGGAAACUUAGAAGCUACAUAUCUUGCCCAGUAUCACACAACCGGUGGGUAGAUGAGCUAGGCUUUCAAUCCAGGCCUGCCUGAGCACAAAGCCCAUCUUGUCCUGUAGAACUCCAUUUAAGGCUCUAUGCCAGAUGAGAAUCUGAGGGUUCGUGUGCUUGAAAACGUGUUCGUCUAUGAGUGUCUAGUAUUGCUAAAUGGAGUAUAAUUGCUUCUGCUUUAUUUCUUUGUAAAAAUCACCAUAAAUCACGCCCCAGCUUCCCUUUCUCCCCAGGUUUUGAAAUCUGGCAAGGUGAAUAUUAAACCAUGAGCACUGGCAUCUAUAAACACUUUCAAAGGAGGACCAGUUCUUUUCAGCACUUGGGCCCUCCAACGCUGGGAAACCUUCCCUUGUUGGGUUUAAAGGAGCACUAGGCUUAGGGUCAGGAGCUCUGUGUUCAAUUUCUAACCUCCGCAAGCCUUGGUUUUCUCCUCUUUGUAAUGGAGAUAAUAAUACUUAUAUUGCUGCUGUCUUUGCAGGGUGGUUGUGAAAUGAUAGUCCUCAGCCUCCUUUCUAAGCUUCUAUUCUAAUCAGUCAGUACGUUUUGGAAGGCCUCAGUAAAGCAGUCUUGACCAUCUCUCUUCUUACUCCAUCUCCCUAGGCAAUUCUUGUCCACCCCAGUAGUGAGGAUGUCAGCAUUCCACCCAGCUGCCCUGGGAUCUCUUUUUAGGCUUUCUCUGCCUCACCCCUCACCAGCUGUGGUGUGCUUUCAGCUGCACCUGCGGCCGUUGGAGGAGGAAGAGGUGGAGGAAGGUUGCCCUCAGGGAUUGCCCAGGAGUUUGCACAGCCCCUCCCAGUGAGGUUCCUUUGCAAUAGUUGGGGAAGCUGUGGCUUAUUCACCAGAGCCCCAGAGAGAUCGGGCUAAAGCCUGUCCUCUGCAGGACUUACCCCUUGAUAAUACCUUACCCUGAGAUAACCCUGUGCUCAGCUUCUUCCCUUCGCCUGCUCCACUCCCCACUCCCUGACCAGUCUCCCAGGGGAACACAGCCUUAAUAAGUAACUUGUACAUGACCCCUCAUCUCAGGGUGUUUCUAAGGACCUCCUCCAAAAAAAAUAAUGGUUUCUGUUACACCUAUUCCAGGCUUCUCUGAGCUCCAGAUCCAAGAAUCGAAAUUGCUCCUCAACAUCUUUCAUAUUUCUCAAUGGCAGCCUCAAGAUCAAACACCCAAAACAGAACUCGUGAUCUUUCCACGUACCCAGUGCCUUCCAGUGUUCCCCAGCUCAGUGACCC